AUAUGUAGGGGGCGAGCGUUGUCCGGAAUGAUUGGGCGUAAAGGGCGCGUAGGCGGCGCGGUAAGUCUGGAGUGAAAGUCCUGCUUUCAAGGUGGGAAUUGCUUUGGAUACUGCCGCGCUUGAGUGCAGGAGAGGUUAUCGGAAUUCCCGGUGUAGCGGUGAAAUGCGUAGAGAUCGGGAGGAACACCAGUGGCGAAGGCGGGUAACUGGACUGCAACUGACGCUGAGGCGCGAAAGUGUGGGGAGCAAACAGGAUUAGAUACCCUGGUAGUCCACACUGUAAACGAUGAAUGCUAGGUGUAAGAGGUAUCGACCCCUUUUGUGCCGGAGUCAACACAAUAAGCAUUCCGCCUGGGGAGUACGGCCGCAAGGUUGAAACUCAAAUGAAUUGGCGGGG
rnacentral:rRNA from 1 species